rnacentral:rRNA from 1 species
AUUGAACGCUGGCGGCGUGCCUAACACAUGCAAGUCGAGCGGUAACAGGUGUAGCAAUACAUGCUGACGAGCGGCGAACGGGUGAGUAAUGCUUCGGAAUCUACCCAAUGGUGGGGAAUAACCAGCCGAAAGGUUGGCUAAUACCGCAUACGUCCCACGGGAGAAAGCAGGGGAUCGCAAGACCUUGCGCCAAUGGAUGAGCCUAAGUCGGAUUAGCUAGUUGGAGGGUAACGGCCUACCAAGGCGACGAUCCGUAGCUGGUCUGAGAGGACGACCAGCCACACUGGGACUGAGACACGGCCCAGACUCCUACGGGAGGCAGCAGUGGGAAUAUUGGACAAUGGGGGAAACCCUGAUCCAGCGACGCCGCGUGUGUGAAGAAGGCC